rnacentral:rRNA from 1 species
UGCCUGCAACAUAGCGUUAAUGCACCGGAUCCCAUUAGAACUCCAUAGUUAAGUGUGCUUAGGCUAGAGCAGUACUGGGAUGAGUGACUUACCAGGAAGUCCUAGUGUUUUAGAUGC